rnacentral:rRNA from 1 species
GACAGAGGGUGCAAAUGUUGCUCGGAAUCACUGGGCGUAAAGGGCGUGUAGGCGGAUCGGCAAGUCGGGCGUGAAAUCCCUGGGCUCAACCCAGGAACUGCACUCGAAACUGCCUUUCUUGAGUGCCGGAGAGGAAAGCGGAAUACCUGGUGUAGAGGUGAAAUUCGUAGAUAUCAGGUGGAACACCAGUGGCGAAGGCGGCUUUCUGGACGGUAACUGACGCUGAGACGCGAAAGCGUGGGGAGCAAACAGG